GAUGAACGCUGGCGGCGUGCCUAAUACAUGCAAGUCGAGUGAACAGACGAGGAGCUUGCUCCUUUGACGUUAGCGGCGGACGGGUGAGUAACACGUGGAUAACCUACCUAUAAGACUGGGAUAACUUCGGGAAACCGGAGCUAAUACCGGAUAACAUGUUGAACCGCAUGGUUCAACAGUGAAAGACGGUCUUGCUGUCACUUAUAGAUGGAUCCGCGCCGCAUUAGCUAGUUGGUAAGGUAACGGCUUACCAAGGCAACGAUGCGUAGCCGACCUGAGAGGGUGAUCGGCCACACUGGAACUGAGACACGGUCCAGACUCCUACGGGAGGCAGCAGUAGGGAAUCUUCCGCAGUGGGCGAAAGCCUGACGGAGCAACGCCGCGUGAGUGAAGAAGGUCUUCGGAUCGUAAAACUCUGUUAUUAGGGAAGAACAAAUGUGUAAGUAACUAUGCACGUCUUGACGGUACCUAAUCAGAAAGCCACGGCUAACUACGUG
rnacentral:rRNA from 1 species